ACAUGUACGGAACCCUUUAGAGAUAGAGGGUGCUCGAAAGAGAGCCGUAACACAGGUGCUGCAUGGCUGUCGUCAGCUCGUGUCGUGAGAUGUUGGGUUAAGUCCCGCAACGAGCGCAACCCUUGUCAUUAGUUGCUACAUUCAGUUGGGCACUCUAAUGAGACUGCCGGUGACAAGCCGGAGGAAGGUGGGGAUGACGUCAAGUCCUCAUGACCCUUACAUCCCGGGCUACACACGUGCUACAAUGGCAGGUACAGAGGGCUGCGAAGCCGCGAGGUGGAGCGAAUCCCAGAAAACCUGUCUCAGUCCGGAUUGAAGUCUGCAACUCGACUUCAUGAAGGCGGAAUCGCUAGUAACCGCGAAUCAGCAGGUCGCGGUGAAUACGUUCCCGGGCCUU
rnacentral:rRNA from 1 species